UUCCGCCUACGGGACGCAGCAGUGGGGAAUAUUGCACAAUGGGGGAAACCCUGAUGCAGCGACGCCGCGUGAGUGAGGAAGUAUUUCGGCAUGUAAAGCUCUAUCAGCAGGGAAGAAAAUGACGGUACCUGACUAAGAAGCCCCGGCUAACUACGUGCCAGCAGCCGCGGUAAUACGUAGGGGGCAAGCGUUAUCCGGAUUUACUGGGUGUAAAGGGAGCGUAGACGGAGGAGCAAGUCUGAUGUGAAAAUCCGGGGCCCAACCCCGGACCUGCAUUG
rnacentral:rRNA from 1 species